rnacentral:rRNA from 1 species
UCCGUAGGUGGCAAUCGUUGUCCGGAUUUAUUGGGUUUAAAGGGUGCGUAGGUGGUUCCAUAAGUCAGUGGUGAAAUACGGCAGCUUAACUGUCGAGGUGCCAUUGAUACUGCGGAACUUGAGUACAGACGAGGUAGGCGGAAUUGACGGUGUAGCGGUGAAAUGCUUAGAUAUCGUCAAGAACACCGAUAGCGAAGGCAGCUUACUAGACUGUAACUGACACUGAGGCACGAAAGUGUGGGGAUAAAACAGG